rnacentral:rRNA from 1 species
UUUGAAAUAUGGCUCAGGACGAACGCUGGCGGCGUGCUUAACACAUGCAAGUCGAGCGGUAAGGCCUUUCGGGGUACACGAGCGGCGAACGGGUGAGUAACACGUGGGUGAUCUGCCCUGCACUUCGGGAUAAGCCUGGGAAACUGGGUCUAAUACCGGAUAUGACCUCCUAUCGCAUGGUGGGUGGUGGAAAGAUUUAUCGGUGCAGGAUGGGCCCGCGGCCUAUCAGCUUGUUGGUGGGGUAAUGGCCUACCAAGGCGACGACGGGUAGCCGACCUGAGAGGGUGACCGGCCACACUGGGACUGAGACACGGCCCAGACUCCUACGGGAGGCAGCAGUGGGGAAUAUUGCACAAUGGGCGAAAGCCUGAUGCAGCGACGCCGCGUGAGGGAUGACGGCCUUCGGGUUGUAAACCUCUUUCAGCAGGGACGAAGCGCAAGUGACGGUACCUGCAGAAGAAGCACCGGCUAACUACGUGCCAGCAGCCGCGGUAAUACGUAGGGUGCAAGCGUUGUCCGGAAUUACUGGGCGUAAAGAGUUCGUAGGCGGUUUGUCGCGUCGUUUGUGAAAACCAGCAGCUCAACUGCUGGCUUGCAGGCGAUACGGGCAGACUUGAGUACUGCAGGGGAGACUGGAAUUCCUGGUGUAGCGGUGAAAUGCGCAGAUAUCAGGAGGAACACCGGUGGCGAAGGCGGGUCUCUGGGCAGUAACUGAC